AAUUUCUUUAAGACGUUGUAAGUCCUUUGUCCGAUUAAAGGCGCGGGUAAGAUUAAGUUAUAAAGAAUCGGAGGAUCGCGGCAGGGUUCCAUUCGGUCGAGAUGGCCAGAGAAGAUGGAGAAAUCGUCGUAUAAAUUCCUUUGAUCUCUUCGUAAAUCCCACGGACGUGUUUACGCGGCGUCGGUAAGUGGCCAGAAAAAGGCGAGGGUGAAUUUCCGUUAGCCGAAGAGGGAGUUAACGCGAUUGGCCACGAGCUUCCGUGUAAUUGGGAACAAUUCAUAAAUUUAUUGCGACAGACAACACACAACGGUCUUCGUUGGUCCCCUUUCUCGCUCACCCUCGUGUUCAGUUGCUCGGUGGACGAACCCUCCGUUACUCCGAUACUCGUUCAACGGAGAGGGGUUGAGUCAGAGAGAGAGAGGAGACGAGCAAGCAGACCGAAACUCAGGAAAUGACCCACCCAUUGGCGCAGCAAAACCAUAAUUCUGACCGCCGAAAUCAUAAUUCACCGAGGUCCAUCGGGAAUGUACUCUCGUGUUUCUGUCGGCCCCGGAACUCGCUGGGACCGUCCUCCUAAUUUUGGAUCGAAUUUCAGGACCGGUCACGAGGCUCGAAUUAAAAUCCGAAUCUUGUCGCUUAA
rnacentral:misc_RNA from 1 species